rnacentral:rRNA from 1 species
UACGGGGGGGGCAAGCGUUGUUCGGAAUUACUGGGCGUAAAGGGCUCGUAGGCGGCCAACUAAGUCAGACGUGAAAUCCCUCGGCUUAACCGGGGAACUGCGUCUGAUACUGGAUGGCUUGAGUUUGGGAGAGGGAUGCAGAAUUCCAGGUGUAGCGGUGAAAUGCGUAGAUAUCUGGAGGAAUACCGGUGGCGAAGGCGGCAUCCUGGACCGGCAUUGACGCUGAUGAGCGAAAGCUAGGGGAGCAAACGGG